rnacentral:rRNA from 1 species
UACGUAGGGUGCAAGCGUUGUCCGGAAUUAUUGGGCGUAAAGAGCUCGUAGGCGGUCUGUCGCGUCUGCUGUGAAACUCAGGGCUUAACCCUGAGCUUGCAGUGGGUACGGGCAGACGUAGAGUGCGGUAGGGAGACUGGAAUUCCUGGUGUAGCGGUGAAAUGCGCAGACUAUCAGGGAGGAACACCGGUGGGCGAAGGCGGGUCUCUUGGGCCGAA